rnacentral:misc_RNA from 1 species
CGCACCUUGCGCUCCUUGGUAUUCCGAGGAGCAUGCCUGUUUGAGUGUCAUGAUAAUCAUCAACUUCACAUGUUCUUUGUUGGACGUGUUUUGAAGCUUGGAUUUGGGGACUUGUUGGUGUGGGGCUUUCAAAGGCUCUGCUUGACUUCCCUUGAAUGCAUUAGCUGGAGUUCAAUUUGCAGCAUAUAUGCGGUGUGAUAAUGUUGUCACUGUAUAGCUCGAGUUGUGUUCGGCUUAUAACUGUCUAACUUGCUUGGACAAUCUCUGAUCAAUUAGGCCUCAAAUCAGGUAGGACUACCCGCUGAACUUAA